rnacentral:tRNA from 1 species
GGGCCUGACCGGGGAUUGAACCCGGGACCUCUCGCAAACUAUAGUUCUUUAUGAACAGAACUGAGAUGUCACUCCCGAAGCAAGAAUCAUACCGCUAGACCAUCAGGCC